rnacentral:rRNA from 1 species
ACCCGCUGAACUUAAGCAUAUCAAUAAGCGGAGGAAAAGAAACUAACAAGGAUUCCCCUAGUAACGGCGAGUGAAGCGGGAAGAGCUCAAAUUUAAAAUCUGGCAGUGUAUUCUGUCCGAGUUGUAGUCUAGAGAAGCAUCAUCCGUGCUGGACCAUGUACAAGUCUCUUGGAACAGAGCGUCAUAGAGGGUGAGAAUCCCGUCCUUGACAUGGACUCCCAGCGCUUUGUGUUGUGCUCUCAACGAGUCGAGUUGUUUGGGAAUGCAGCUCAAAAUGGGUGGUAAAUUCCAUCUAAAGCUAAAUAUUGGCGAGAGACCGAUAGCGAACAAGUACCGUGAGGGAAAGAUGAAAAGCACUUUGGAGAGAGAGUUAAACAGUACGUGAAAUUGUUGAAAUGGAAACGCUUGAAGUCAGUCGCGUUCUCUGGGAUUCAGCCUUGCUUUUGCUUGGUGCAUUUCCUAGUCUACGGGCCAGCAUGGAUUUUGACCGUUGGAAAAGGGCUGGAGGAAUGUGGCACCUUCGGGUGUGUUAUAGCCUCCUGUCGCAUGCAUCGGUUGGGAUCGAGGACCUCAGUGCACGCUUCGGUUGUGCUUUGAUGCUGGCGUAAUGGCUUUAAACGACCCGUCUUGAAACACGG